UACGGAGGGUGCGAGCGUUGUCCGGAAUCAUUGGGCGUAAAGGGCGCGUAGGUGGCCUGCUAAGCGUGCGGUGAAAGUCGGGGGCUCAACCCCCGAUCGGCCGUGCGAACUGGGAGGCUUGAGCACUGUAGAGGCAGGCGGAAUUCCGGGUGUAGCGGUGGAAUGCGUAGAGAUCCGGAAGAACACUGGUGGCGAAGGCGGCCUGCUGGGCAGUUUUGCUGACACUGAGGCGCGACAGCGUGGGGAGCAAACAGG
rnacentral:rRNA from 1 species